rnacentral:tRNA from 1 species
UUUUAUAUAGUUUAAAUAAAACAUUACACUUUCACUGUAAAAAUAAAAUUUAAUUUUUAUAAAUA